GACGAACGCUGGCGGCGUGCUUAACACAUGCAAGUCGAGCGGAAAGGCCCUUCGGGGUACUCGAGCGGCGAACGGGUGAGUAACACGUGAGUAACCUGCCCUUGGCUUUGGGAUAACCCUCGGAAACGGGGGCUAAUACCGAAUACUUACUUCUGGACGCAUGUCCGGUUGUAGAAAGUUUUUCGGCCAGGGAUGGACUCGCGGCCUAUCAGCUUGUUGGCGGGGUAAUGGCCCACCAAGGCUUCGACGGGUAGCCGGCCUGAGAGGGCGACCGGCCACACUGGGACUGAGACACGGCCCAGACUCCUACGGGAAGCAGCAGUGGGGAAUAUUGCACAAUGGGCGAAAGCCUGAUGCAGCGACGCCGCGUGAGGGAAGACGGCCUUCGGGUUGUAAACCUCUUUCAGCAGGGACGAAGCGAAAGUGACGGUACCUGCAGAAGAAGCGCCGGCCAACUACGUGCCAGCAGCCGCGGUAAGACGUAGGGCGCAAGCGUUGUCCGGAAUUAUUGGGCGUAAAGAGCUCGUAGGCGGCUUGUCGCGUCGACUGUGAAGACCCACGGCUCAACCGUGUGGCCUGCAGUCGAUACGGGCAGGCUAGAAUUCGGUAGGGGAGACUGGAAUUCCUGGUGUAGCGGUGAAAUGCGCAGAUAUCAGGAGGAACACCGGUGGCGAAGGCGGGUCUCUGGGCCGAUAUUGACGCUGAGGAGCGAAAGCGUGGGGAGCGAACAGGAUUAGAUACCCCCGGUAGUCCUGGCAGUAAACGGUGCACGUUUGGUGUGGGAGGAUUCGACCCCUUCCGCGCCGGAGCUAACGCGUUAAACGUGCCGCCUGGGGAGUACGGUCGCAAGAUUAAAACUCAAAGAAAUUGACGGGGGCCCGCACAAGCGGUGGAGUAUGUGGCUUAAUUCGAUGCAACGCGAAGAACCUUACCAGGCCUUGACAUGCAUUUCUAAGCGGGUGAAAGCCCGUGAGUCUCGAAAGAGAUAACUUGCACAGGUGCUGCAUGGCUGUCGUCAGCUCGUGUCGUGAGAUGUUGGGUUAAGUCCCGCAACGAGCGCAACCCUUAUCCCUAGUUGCCAUCGGGUCAAGCCGGGCACUCUAGUGAAACCGCCCCGGAUAACGGGGAGGAAGGUGGGGAUGACGUCAAGUCCUCAUGGCCUUUAUGUCCAGGGCUACACACGUGCUACAAUGGUCGGUACAAACCGUCGCAAACCCGCGAGGGGGAGCUAAUCGGAAAAAGCCGACCUCAGUUCGGAUUGGAGUCUGCAACUCGACUCCAUGAAGCUGGAAUCGCUAGUAAUCGCAGAUCAGCACGCUGCGGUGAAUACGUUCCCGGGCCUUGUACACACCGCCCGUCACAUCACGAAAGUGAGCUGUACUAGAAGUCGGUGAGCUAACCGCAAGGAGGCAGCCGCCCAAGGUACGGCUCAUGAUUGGGGUG
rnacentral:rRNA from 1 species